AAGGAAUUGGCUCACACAAUUACGGAAGCUAAGAAGUCCCAUGAUCUGCCAUUUGCAAGCUGGAGGUCCAGGACAGCUGGUGGCGGUGCAGUUCUGAGAACCGGAGGCCAGUGGCAUAUGUCCCAGUCAAGGGCAAGAGAAGACUGAUGUUCUAGCUCAAGCAGUCAUGCAGAGAGAGCGAAUUCCCCCUUCCUCUGUUUUUUUCUUCUAUUCAGGACCUCAGCGGAUUUGAUGAUGCCCACCCACAUUGGAGGCCAAUCUGCUUUCAUCAGUCCACUGACUCAAAUGCUAAUUUCAUCCAAAACCCCCCUCAUAAACACACCCAGAAAUAACGUUUAAUCUGGGCCUUCUGUACCCCAGUCAGGUUGACACAGGAAAUUAAUCAUCACACUUCAAAAGAACUCAAGGGACUUGAAAUCAGGGCCUGCAGCCUAUUCCCCUUUAUCCACAUGUCUCUGGUAGGGCUCCUUCCAGACCAUGCUGUGACUCCUUAUGUGGCAAGAGAAAUUAAUAUCAUUUCCCUUUCCUUUGCCUAACAUCUCUGCACUUACUUCUUUCUACAAUUCUGUCCUCAAUUCGUUGCAUUUCAUGAUCCCAUAUAAAAAAGUCAUAUUUAAAAUUGACUUAGUGUGUCUGGAUUUUCCUGGCCUUCAGUCAGAGAAGUAAUCUGUUUCAGGUGGCUGGCAAAUUUGUAUUAUCACGUAGAGUUAUCCUUUUCUGGGAUGAGGAAGGCUCUGUUUUCUGGCACUGAGACUUAUAUCAGACACAGGUUUAACUUCCAGCCUUGUCAUACCCACAGAGCUUAGCAGCAUAAAUCUAAGAGAUGCGACAGAGUCCAUGGUGAAGAUUUAGCACAUAGAAUUUAAAAGUAGCUCGAAUCUAAAUGAGAAGAAUGAAGCUAGGAAUUACUUAGGAAAGGAGAUAGGAAAAGGGAUGAGAAACUGUGAGGCCUUGUUACCUCUGUAGUGUUAUCCUCUCCAUGAUGUAUGUGAAAUAUUUUAUAUCCAGAUUGUGGUUUUGCAUUGUCAGAUUUGAAUUUAUACUCUUGCUAGUUAAUGUGUUGAUAGCUAGGUCCAAAUCUUGAUGUGCUGUCCAGACACAUAUGUACUCAAAAAGAUUUGGAGGGGAAAGAGGCACCCGAGGGAGAAAUGUGAUUUUAAUGCUGUGGAAAGAAUACUUGCAAGUGUACAAGACAGUAUAACAAAAAGCACUGUAUGGAAGUGGAGUCAAAAAUGAAUAAACGAAUGUGCAUGUGACUGAACGGGGAGGCCACUGGGGGCUCGAAAGAAGGCUACAUAAAAGAGGUAAUGGAGAAUGCUCCAGAAGGGAUGGGGGAAGGUCAGGGCAAGCAAGGUAGAAACAGGUGUGCUGCAGAGAAUACAUUCUGAAGCAUGAAAGCAAAUCUCUCUGAAGAGAGAUCUGAGAGAAGGCAGAAAAAGUAAGUGUCUUGAAGAUAAAAGAUAAAUAUGUAUGGAGAAAGAAGGCAUUCUAGGUAAUAGAGGUUAUAAAAAUAUUUAUUAAAAAAUGAAAAGUCAGGUGCAGUGUAUGAAAUGGAAAGGAGCUUUUCAGGGUUUAAAGAACAGGGACGUCCAUGAUGAACAUAAAAACACACCAGCAACCAUCAGGGAAUGACCUUUUCAUUUCAGAGGGAGUGAGGGUCGGCGGCAGUUUGAGCACCUGUGGAUUCUAGAUAGGCCACUUCAAGUGCUGGGGUUUAAUGCUGGUCAGAAGAAAGCAACUCUUUGCCUGAACUGCUUUUGGAAACUCCAAAGAGCUGCUUUGGAAAUAAAGACCUAGAGAUGGGGAAUUUAUGGUAGUUCACGGAUCUCUGUGUUUCUGUCUUUUGCUUCUGUUAAUGAAAUCCAUUUAAAAUAAUGCUCAUCGUUGCUGUGCCCAGAAAGGCCACAGGGAAACUGAAACAAUAGGCUUAAGUUAGACUAGACUAAACCUUGUUUGAUAUCUGCACAAAGAGGUAUGUGCCAUGUUGGAACCAUGUGUUUUUCUAGUCUCAUCCAGGCUUCCCACAAGAAAGCCAUGAUGUGGGGCUAAGCCAUGUGUUUUGAGUAAAAGGAGACAAGAAGGGGAGUGUCUGAGAGAGGGAAAGAGAUGAAGAUGUUCCAAGGAAAUAUUCUAAAACAGAACCGCAUCUGUUUUGCCCAAAACUACAAAAAAUGAAGAAAAUUACAGUUAAUACUUAGAUUACCCCCAAUAUAUGGCUAUUAAGUCUUUGAUCCUAAAUUGAAUUUAUAGAACUGCCACCUUUGUCUUUUUAGUAAGAACUCUGACCUCUGGCAGUGCAUAUGGUAGGUCCCUAAAUGUUUCUGGAAGUUGCAGACCUCGAUCUACACUAGGAAAUCCUUCCGAAUUGAAAUUUAACAUUUUUAUAGAGGCAGAUUAAUGUCUUUUCCACUUGGUAAAUGUCUUGGAAUGCUGAAUUGUUAGGGAAAGAGACUGGAAUGGUGAUUCGAUUUCUGGCAUUUGAGUUCUCUGCUACAAUUAGCUGCAUUGCUUGGCGGCAGACAUGUGGUGGCUAAUUGUUUAGUGGCUGUAUCCUUUUUUUUAAACUUGUUAUUUAGAAACAGUUUAAGACUCACAGGAAGUUGCAAAAACAGUACAGAAUGGACUUACCCUAGCACAGAGCUUUCCCCAUUGAUAUCUUAUAUAACCAGUGUCCGUUUUCAAAAACAGAAAAUUGACAUUGGUCUAAUACUAUUAACUAAACUACAGCCCUUACUCAGAUUUCACCAGUUGUUCACACGUAUUUAUUUCAUUUCUGAAUACUUUGAACCCAUGCUGAUUUGUAACCCGUUCUUACUUGGACGCAGUGGGAAAGACACUAUCUGGAUACAAUACUACAAAAUUCUAAAGAGAAUAUAACAAAUUAAUCUGUUCUUUUAUCAACAUACAAUAUCCUGCCUAGAGUGCAUCCACAUUUCCUGACUAGUUUGGCUGCUUAGCAUCUAGAACAAGCCAACAGCAGCUUAGAAGUGUUCAGCAACACAAAAGAUAGUAAGACCUGCCCAUAGCUUGCUGGCUAGAGAAUCAGGUAUAGAAGGAUAUUCUAGAUGAUUCCUGGAGUCCCUAUAAAUAAGUAGGAUUUGUAAUGAUGGCAAGGAGAGGACUUUAGGGAAAACUAGUAUUUUGGUCAACAGCUAGGUGGCACUUAGUUAAUGGCAGCAGAGAUAGUUUGUGGAAGGAAUAGAGUAUCAUGGUAUAGACCCCUAAUGUGUGAUAAAACACUAUUUUCAGAAUAGUAGAGAAAUUUCAUUUGCCUAAAUGUCUGUUCUUAAAUGGAAUAACAACCACAUGGGACCAAAUUCAAUGCAAACAUAGCAGCAACCUGGGGGGAAGUAGAAAGUCUGGUUUCUUGAAUCAUGAUUUAGAGUUUUGUGAUGGCAUUUUUAAGCUGCCCUACUUAAGGGUCAUAAGAUUAUAACUGUGUUCACACUGCAUACCCCAUAUCCUAGCACAGAGUGAGCACUCAAUAAAUAUUUGCUGAAUGUUUAUUUUUGAAUGAGGAAAGAGAAAAGGUGUCCAGGCUUGUACCUGGGAAGUACAUCCUUCAUUCAUAUAUUUUCUGACGGUGAAAUUGAGCUAUGGAAAUACCUUAUUCUUUGGGGUAUGUGGACAGCAAUGCGAGGCAGUUUUCUAAAGGCUACCCCAUCAAGAAUAGGCACCAGACUCUGGCCUCAAACCCAGCCCAUUUGAAAUAAGCUUUUUAGUUUCUCCUCCGGACACCUUAUCAACAAGUUCACAGGCCUCUAGAGGAGGAGGAUCGGAGUCCCAGACCAUCCUAUGCUUACCCACAUCCACAACUGCAUGUAAAGGAAGAAUUUGCAGAGAGACUCAAGGGAAAGCACAAUGGGAUAAAGCAAUCACUUUGAAUAAAAAAUUGUUCUCUUGAAAAGAGGCUUAGAAAUAAUUGAAAGUUGGGAGAAUUCCUGCAAACACACCAACAGUUUGUAAUCUAGCCUAUUCAUUUUAUGUCCUUUGCUAUUCAUUGAUAUUGCUAUUCUUCUGCCCUGUUGUCUGGUAACUUUCUGAGGACUGGAUUUCUGAAGCAAUGUGAUGCAUUCUUCCCAUGAGGAGGAAACAUCUGGGCCUCAUUCUGCAGGCUUGGGAGGAUGAUGUGUCUUGUCA
ensembl:lncRNA